GUCUGUUGAAAAACUCACAACCAAGACAACCCCAAAGAGAAGCACUUAUGAACACAAGAACCACCAGUGUCUCCAUUUGAGGUGAUCUGAGAUUGACUCCCACAAAAUAUGGCAUCCAAUACAUUCUGUUGUUUUUGUCAAUUAAAACUGCCCCAACAAGUAGCACUUACUGAAUUCAACAGUCAAGUCAAUGCUCAUGUUAAGGUAAUACUAUUGACUUGCAAAAAUGGUCAAAAAAGUAUUCUUCACCAAGUAACAAAUAAUCUAGUCCUGGUGAAAUCUUUAAAGGGAACCUGGGUCAGCAAAACUACCCCAACAAGAAGCACUUACUGCAUUCAGAACUCAAGUCAGUGCUUGUGUUUGGGUAAUUUUGAUGACAAAUGUAUGCAUUUAGCUAGUCAUGUAAAAAUGGUGUAAAUUUACCGUGAUAUGUCUGUUGAAAAACUCACAACCAAGACAACCCCAAAGAGAAGCACUUAUGAACACAAGAACCACCAGUGUCUCCAUUUGAGGUGAUCUGAGAUUGACUCCCACAAAAUAUGGCAUCCAAUACAUUCUGUUGUUUUUGUCAAUUAAAACUGCCCCAACAAGUAGCACUUACUGAAUUCAACAGUCAAGUCAAUGCUCAUGUUAAGGUAAUACUAUUGACUUGCAAAAAUGGUCAAAAAAGUAUUCUUCACCAAGUAACAAAUAAUCUAGUCCUGGUGAAAUCUUUAAAGGGAACCUGGGUCAGCAAAACUACCCCAACAAGAAGCACUUACUGCAUUCAGAACUCAAGUCAGUGCUUGUGUUUGGGUAAUUUU